GCCUAUAAGUAAUAAAAAGGUUUUCUUUUUUUAUCUUUUUAAUUUUCAUUAUUCUAUAUUUUUUUUCACCAAAAGAAUUCCACCCCGGGGCUCCCAUUCGACUGAAACAACUUUUUCCUCCCCGAUGACCAUCACACUCAAUGCCUCUCAGAUGACCACCACACUCGAUAUCCUCCGAGAUGACUAUCACAGCACAUUCCCCACAGGUGACAUUAAUACCCAAAUGCCCCACAGAUGACCACCACACCUAAUACCCUCCAGAUGACCACCACAUCCAAUGCAGAGGCCUCGAGGAAAACAGACUCCCCAGCUGCUAAAAUCACUGCUGACCAAAUCAGAUAAUGUAUCAACACAGGACAAAAACUUGCCAUCAACGAUGACAGGAACAAGUUCUGGUUCAAUUUCGUCAAGGAAAGCUGUGGACUCUCUCCUCUCUUCGUUGAGACCCCUAAGUCCUACACCAGAGAGCCAGGGUAACUGCGACACCUUUGCACCAGUUGCCAGCUACUCGCCGGCACUCGACUCAAACUUCAGUGCUCUCGCGCCAGUUACAUGUACCAGUAACUCGGAUAAUGAUAAGGGUCGAUUUAGUCAGGCGGAAGUCUCCAUUCUGACUACUUUGAGGUGAUGAAUGUUUAAACACAUUAAUUACAGGGCAAUAUUGAAUCAUCAUCUUACUGAUUACCAUCGAUGUUAAUUCAUUUACAAAAGGGUUCUGAAAAAAAGUAAUUGAAUUAAUUUUUCUAAUUUAUAUGUUAUAAAAGACAUGGGUUCUUAAAACUGGCAAACC
rnacentral:sRNA from 1 species